rnacentral:rRNA from 1 species
UGGGGAAUAUUGCACAAUGGGCGAAAGCCUGAUGCAGCGACGCCGCGUGAGGGAUGACGGCCUUCGGGUUGUAAACCUCUUUCAGUAGGGACGAAGCGCAAGUGACGGUACCUGCAGAAGAAGCACCGGCUAACUACGUGCCAGCAGCCGCGGUAAUACGUAGGGUGCGAGCGUUGUCCGGAAUUACUGGGCGUAAAGAGCUCGUAGGCGGUUUGUCACGUCGUCUGUGAAAUCCUAGGGCUUAACCCUGGACGUGCAGGCGAUACGGGCUGACUUGAGUACUACAGGGGAGACUGGAAUUUCUGGUGUAGCGGUGGAAUGCACAGAUAUCAGGAAGAACACCGAUGGCGAAGGCAGGUCUCUGGGUAGUAACUGACGCUGAGGAGCGAAAGCAUGGAUAGCGAACAGG